UACACGGUACGACAUGCCGCAACAUUUAAAUGGCUUCCCAUAAGAAUGGUUAUCGGAUCAGUGAGAAACGUCUAGUAUUUACUUACAGCACGUACACGGUACGACAUGCCGUAAUGUAAUAUGGAAGUCGAACACUGCAAGGUUAAAGAACGUAAAUGGGCCAAGAGUGACGGUGAAGAUCAACUGGAAACAAACAAAUGAUAGUGGUAAGACAGGUCUACAGCAAAUACAACUGCUAGUAAAGUAAACAUAAAAGAAAUGUAAGCAGAAAGACUGACUGACAGACACAGCAGCAAGCAAGCAAACGCCGAACGACUGAUAGACAGAGAAGCAAGUGAGCAAAUAUCGACCGACUGACAGAUACAAAAGCAAGCUAACAAACGACAGACAGACAGAGAAACAAGCAGCAAACAUCGACAGACAGAGAGACACAGAAGCAAGUGAGUAAAUGCCGUUGACCGACUAACAGACACAAAUGCAAGCAAGAAAACGCUGACUGAAUGAAAGACACAGAAGCAAGUGAGCAAACAAAUGACAGACAGAUGGAGAAGCUGGAAAGCAAAAGACCCAAUGACAGACAACCAUCAGAGAAUGAAAGCAAACAAGCAAUCCACAGGCAGCUAGACAUAUCAGCAGACACGCACAGACAGGCACAUUUAUCAAAUUAUCUUGAAACUAUUAGUAAUUCUACAGAUCUCACCAAAUAUAUCCUAUAGACAUUGCCUUUAGUAAUCUGACCCCAGCACUCAUCAUCAGUUUUAUUGGAUUUAGAGAUGUUACCUACAUGGGACUGGUUCAUUGUUUGGUGUGAAUCAGAAUGAGGCAUUAUGCUAAAGAAAUAAAGAAAAACACUUGUCUAGUCAACAAUAUCAGAUCUACAGCUAUAAAAUAUAGACCAAUUCGGCUAAUGCAAUAUUAUUUACAUAUCUUAUUCAUAUCAGUGGUUCAUUGACAUGUAAAAAAGUAUUCCCAGUAGUAAUUCUCUUGAGAAUCAUUCCUUUGUUUAUUUGCUGAUAAAUAUUUUAUUGGACUCAAGAUUCAUGUGAUAUGGGUUUUCUCAUGAAAUUCAACAUGGAAUUCCCUUGUCAGCCCAUGAAUUUCACUUUAGAAUUCUUUCUGGCUGACAGCACAUGGUGGUCAGUGUUUGGCCACCAUUUGGAGCAGAUAAAUGAGAUUCAAAGACUUACAUAUCAAAACGAUAUGUUGAAUGUGCACUAUAUUAAUAAUCAUUAUUAACUAUCAUUACUUGAAUGUACAUACCAAGAAACUAAGGUCAGAGACUUGGGCACUGCGGCAGCAUAAAUGGCUAAGUCACCAUAAAGAUAGAGACCAAUGCACAAAUAGAACAACCUCAGACCAUCUUGAAGAGAAAAUUACAAAUAAUAAAUUAAUAAAAACUAA